AUUGAACGCUGGCGGCAGGCCUAACACAUGCAAGUCGAGCGGAGCGGCGGACGGGUGAGUAAUGCCUAGGAAUCUGCAUGGUAGUGGGGGAUAACGUCCGGAAACGGGCGCUAAUACCGCAUACUAUCAGAUGAGCCUAGGUCGGAUUAGCUGGUUGGUGGGGUAAAGGCCUACCAAGGCGACGAUCCGUAACUGGUCUGAGAGGAUGAUCAGUAACACUGAAACUGAGAAACGGUCCAGACUCCGACGGGAGGCAGCAGUGGGGAAUAGUGGGAAAUGGGCGAAAGCCUGAUCCAGCCAUGCCGCGUGUGUGAAGAAGGUCUUCGGAUUGUAAAGCACUUGAAGUUGGGAGGCGUUACCAACAGAAUAAGCACCGGCUAACUUCGUGCCAGCAGCCGCGGUAAUAC
rnacentral:rRNA from 1 species